rnacentral:tRNA from 1 species
AAGACAUUAGUAAAAUACGUAAAUUACAUCACCUUGUCAAGGUGAAAUCGCAGGUUAGACCCCUG